rnacentral:rRNA from 1 species
AGUGAACGCUGGCGGUAGGCCUAACACAUGCAAGUCGAACGGCAGCACAGUAAGAGCUUGCUCUUACGGGUGGCGAGUUGCGGACGGGUGAGGAAUACAUCGGAAUCUACUUUUUCGUGGGGGAUAACGUAGGGAAACUUACGCUAAUACCGCAUACGACCUACGGGUGAAAGCAGGGGAUCUUCGGACCUUGCGCGAUUGAAUGAGCCGAUGUCGGAUUAGCUAGUUGGCGGGGUAAAGGCCCACCAAGGCGACGAUCCGUAGCUGGUCUGAGAGGAUGAUAAGCCACCCUGGGACUGAGAGAAGGUACAGACUCCUACGGGAGGCAGCAGUGAGCAAUAUUGGACAAUGGGAGCAAGACUGAUACGGCCAGAACGCAUGAGUGAAGAAGGAGAUCGUGUAGUAGAGCCUUGUUGUUGGGAAGGAAAAGCAGCAGGUUAAUACCCCGCAGUUCUAACGAUACCAAAAGAAUAAGCACAGGCUAAAUACGUG